rnacentral:rRNA from 1 species
CAACGCGAAGAACCUUACCAGGCCUUGACAUGCAGAGAACUUUCCGGAGAUGGAUUGGUGCCUUCGGGAACGUCUGACACAGGUGCUGCAUGGCUGUCGUCAGCUCGUGUCGUGAGAUGUUGGGUUAAGUCCGUAACGAGCGCAACCCUUGUCCUUAGUUACCAGCACGUUAUGGUGGGCACUCUAAGGAGACUGCCGGUGGACAAACCGGAGGAAGGUGGGGAGUGACGUCAAGUCAUCAUGGCCCUUACGGCCUGGGCUACACACGUGCUACAAUGGUCGGUACAAAGGGUUGCCAAGCCGCGAGGUGGAGCUAAUCCCAUAAAACCGAUCGUAGUCCGGAUCGCAGUCUGCAACUCGACUGCGUGAAGUCGGAAUCGCUAGUAAUCGUGAAUCAGAAUGUCACGGUGAAUACGUUCCCGGGCCUU